AACGCACAUUGCGCCCGGUGGUAUUCCGCCGGGCAUGCCUGUUCGAGCGUCAUUUAAACCAAUCCAGCCUCGUGCUUGGGUCUUGGGCCUUUCGCCUCCGGGCGGGCCUCAAAAUCAGUGGCGGUGCCUUCUGGCUCUAAGCGUAGUAAUACUCCUCGCUAUAGAUGUUAGAUGGUGUCUUGCCAAUAACCCCUAAUUUUUAAAGGUUGACCUCGGAUCAGGUAGGGAUACCCGCUGAACUUAA
rnacentral:misc_RNA from 2 species